GCCAGACUCCUACGGGAGGCAGCAGUGGGGGAUAUUGCACAAUGGGGGGAACCCUGAUGCAGCGACGCCGCGUGGGUGAAGGAGCGUUUCGGCGCGUAAAGCCCUAUCGGCAGGGAAGAAGGAGGACGGUACCUGACUAAGAAGCCCCGGCUAACUACGUGCCAGCAGCCGCGGUAAUACGUAGGGGGCAAGCGUUAUCCGGAUUUACUGGGUGUAAAGGGAGCGCAGGCGGUUCUGCAAGUCUGAUGUGAAAGCCCGGGGCUCAACCGCGGGACUGCAUUGGAAACUGCGGGACUGGAGUGUCGGAGGGGUAAGCGGAAUUCCUGGUGUAGCGGUGAAAUGCGUAGAUAUCAGGAGGAACACCGGUGGCGAAGGCGGCCUGCUGGACUGCAACUGACGUUGAGGCCCGAAAGCGUGGGGAGCAAACAGGAUUAGAUACCCCAGUAC
rnacentral:rRNA from 1 species